CCCAAAGAUUUUCUGAAAGAUUUUCCGAUUUUUUUGACAUCUAAAUGAAAACAAAUAAUUGCAUCAUGGCACGAAAAGCAAAAUUCAUGUCCCAUGAAUGCUGGCGUCACCCAGAACCCAGAACACCUGGUCAGAGGGACAGGACAAGAAGCAAUGCUGAGAUGCAGCCCAGAGAAAGAACACAAUUACGUUUACUGGUAUCAGCAGCUCCCGGGAGAAGGUCUGAAAUUCAUGGUUUACCUCCAGAAGGAAAAUAUCAUAGAUGACUCCGGAAUGCCGACAAAACGCUUUUCUGCUGAAUUUCCCAAAGAGGGACCCAGUGUCUUCAAGAUCCGGCUGGCAGAGUUGGGAGACUCUGCAGUGUACUUCUGUGCCAGCUCCUUACCCACAUCAAUGCAGAGUGCCAUCCUGUCAAUGCAGGAACACCCUCCAGGCCCUGCCCCAGAAACAGCCACGGGCUGGGGAAGGGAAGGGCACGUGUAGUUGGAUUAAUGAACAUAUUCGCUAGAAAGCAUUUUGCAGGGCGAGCAUGGAAAUAGGGGAUGGUGGUGGAAGUAUCACGAGACAUCCCAGCCCAUGCUCAGGAACUAAGACUGUCACCAGAAAAAGGUGCUUAGCACUCCAGGGAGCCCCCUCUCCCAUCAUGGGUCACCAGGUGAUCUGCUGUGUGGCUCUUUGUCUCCUCGGGCAGGCACAGCAGAUGGUA